rnacentral:tRNA from 1 species
GCCCAAGUAGUUUAAUUAAAAUAUUGAUUUGUGGGGUCAAAGAUAUACAAGUGUAUGUUGGGCA